AACGUACGCUGGCGGCACGCCUAACACAUGCAAGUCGAACGAAGUAGCAAUACUUAGUGGCAGACGGGUGAGUAACAUGUAGGUAUCUGCCCUUUGGCCUGGAAUAACACGAGGAAACUUGUGCUAAUACCGGAUAAGUCUUUACGGAGAAAGCUUUAUGCACCAUUGGAUGAGCCUGCACUUGAUUAGUUUGUUGGUGGGGUAAUGGCCUACCAAGACUGUGAUCAAUAGCUGAUUUGAGAGGAUGAUCAGCCACAUUGGGACUGAGACACGGCCCAAACUCCUACGGGAGGCAGCAGUGGGGAAUCUUGCACAAUGGAGGAAACUCUGAUGCAGCGAUGCCGCGUGAGUGAAGAAGGCCCUUGGGUUGUAAAGCUCUUUCGUCGGGGAAGAAAAUGACUGUACCCGAAUAAGAAGGUCCGGCUAACUUCGUGCCAGCAGCCGCGGUAAUACGAAGGGACCUAGCGUAGUUCGGAAUUACUGGGCUUAAAGAGUUCGUAGGUGGUUAAAAAAGUUGGUGGUGAAAUCCCAGAGCUUAACUCCGGAACUGCCAUCAAAACUUUUUAGCUAGAGUAUGAUAGAGGAAAGCAGAAUUUCUAGUGUAGAGGUGAAAUUCGUAGAUAUUAGAAAGAAUACCAAUUGCGAAGGCAGCUUUCUGGAUCAUUACUGACACUGAGGAACGAAAGCAUGGGUAGCGAAGAGGAUUAGAUACCCUCGUAGUCCAUGCCGUAAACGAUGUGUGUUAGACGUUGGAAAUUUAUUUUCAGUGUCGCAGCGAAAGCGAUAAACACACCGCCUGGGGAGUACGACCGCAAGGUUAAAACUCAAAUGAAUUGACGGGGACCCGCACAAGUAGUGGAGCAUGUGGUUUAAUUCGAAGAUACGCGCAGAACCUUACCAACACUUGACAUGUUCGUCGCGACUUUAAGAGAUUAAAGUUUUCGGUUCGGCCGGACGAAACACAGGUGCUGCAUGGCUGUCGUCAGCUCGUGUCGUGAGAUGUUGGGUUAAGUCCCGCAACGAGCGCAACCCUCACUUUUAGUUGCCAUCAUUUAGUUGGGCACUCUGAAAGAACUGCCAGUGAUAAGCUGGAGGAAGGUGGGGAUGACGUCAAGCCCUCAUGGCCCUUACGUGUUGGGCUACACACGUGCUACAAUGGUAUCUACAACAGGAAGCAAGACUGCGAAGUUAAGCAAAUCCUUAAAAGAUACCUCAGUUCGGAUUGCACUCUGCAACUCGAGUGCAUGAAGCUGGAAUUACUAGUAAUCGUGGAUCAGCGUGCCACGGUGAAUGCGUUCCCGGGUCUUGUACACACCGCCCGUCACACCAUGGGAGUUGGUUCUACCUUAAGGCAAGGUUUCAAACCCUUGACCACGGUAUAGUCAGCGACUGGGGUG
rnacentral:rRNA from 1 species